GCUUACACAUGCAGUCGAGGGGUAACAGGAGUAGCUUGCUAUUUGCUGACGACCGGCGCACGGGUGCGUAACGCGUAUAGAAUCUACCUUAUACUGGGGGAUAGCCUUUGGAAACGAAGAUUAAUACCCCAUAGUAUUAUUUUUUGGCAUCAUUAAAUAAUUAAAGUUUCGGCGGUAUAAGAUGACUAUGCGUUCUAUUAGUUAGUUGGUAAGGUAACGGCUUACCAAGACUUCGAUAGAUAGGGGUCCUGAGAGGGAGAUCCCCCACACUGGUACUGAGACACGGACCAGACUCCUACGGGAGGCAGCAGUGAGGAAUAUUGGACAAUGGAGGCAACUCUGAUCCAGCCAUGCCGCGUGUAGGAAGACUGCCCUAUGGGUUGUAAACUACUUUUAUAUGGGAAGAAUAAGAUCUACGUGUAGAUUGAUGACGGUACCAUAAGAAUAAGCACCGGCUAACUCCGUGCCAGCAGCCGCGGUAAUACGGAGGGUGCAAGCGUUAUCCGGAAUCAUUGGGUUUAAAGGGUCCGUAGGCGGGCAUAUAAGUCAGUGGUGAAAGUCUGUGGCUUAACCAUAGAAUUGCCAUUGAUACUGUAUGUCUUGAAUUAUUGUGAAGUGGUUAGAAUAUGUAGUGUAGCGGUGAAAUGCUUAGAGAUUACAUAGAAUACCGAUUGCGAAGGCAGAUCACUAACAAUAUAUUGACGCUGAUGGACG
rnacentral:rRNA from 1 species